AUUCGAGAAAAUUUCGAUACGUACAAAGUUCGCUGAUUUUCAUACGGAACAAUGGACAGUACGCUGCGUAAUAUACGCGCACAUAGACUAACCUCUCUUCAACAGCUGUAUUGUCUAUGUGAUACUUCUAAAGAAAAACGCUCGACUCAAGUGCAACCGCAUUUCCAUCCGGAACUAAUGUUUGUGUUUAUCAAUAUGUUGUAAUAAUUAAUGUUAAGCAGACGACACGAUAAAGCACUGGGCAACAACAUAUCAUUCAUAGCGGGUUCGAAGAAUUUCGUAAGCACUUGACAUUUGACAAGAUAUUUACAUACAAUUUCAAUAAA